rfam:Glycine soja cultivar W05 scaffold704_32, whole genome shotgun sequence.
UGGAGAAACAUCAUUGAGUGCAGCGUUGAUGAAGUCCUAAAUAGUAAAUAGCAACUACCCCUCGUGUUUCUCAGGUAGAUGCUUAAAUGGUUUUAUUGACGCUGCACUCAAUCAUGUUUUUU